rnacentral:rRNA from 1 species
AUAAACGCUGGCGGCGUGCCUAAUCAAUGCGAGUCGAGCGAGGCCUUCGGGUCGAGCGGCAUCCGGGUGAGUAACGCGUAGCUAACCUAACUCUGAGUGGGGGAUACCCGUCAGAAAUGGCGGUUAAUACCGCAUAGGGUGAUUACCGUAAGGGUAAGCAUCAAAGCCGCAAGGCGCUGAGAGAGGGGGCUGCGUCUGAUUAGCUCGUUGGUGGGGUAAAGGCCUACCAAGGCAUCGAUCAGUAGCUGGUCUGAGAGGAUGGUCAGCCACACUGGGACUGAAACAUGGUCCAGAGCUCUACGGGGCUUAGCAUGAAGGGAUAUUGCGCAAUGGGCGAAAGCCUGACGCAGCAACGCCGCGUGUGGGACGACGCCUUUAGGGGUGUAAACCACUUUUCCCAGGGAAGAAGGACGUGACGGUACCUGGGGAAUAAGCCUUGGCUAAGUACGUGCCAGCAGCCGCGGUAAUACGUACGAGGCAAGCGCUAUCCGGAAUUAUUGGGCGUAAAGCGCGCGCAGGCGGGCUGUUAAGUAGGGCGUGAAAUCUCCCGGCCUAACUGGGAGGGGUCGCCCUAAACUGGCAGUCUUGAGGACAGCAGAGGUAGGUGGAAUUCCUGGUGUAGUGGUGAAAUGCGUAGAGAUUCAGGAGGAACACCGGUGGCGAAGGCGGCCUACUGGGCUGUCACUGACGCUGAGGCGCGAAAGCUCGGGGAGCGAACGGGAUUAGAUACCCCGGUAGUCCGAGCCCUAAACGAUGUGCACUAGGUGUUCGUGGUAUCGACCCCACGGGUGCCGCAGCUAACGCAAUAAGUGCACCGCCUGGGGAGUACGGCCGCAAGGUUAAAACUCAAAGGAAUUGACAGGGGCCCGCACAAGCAGCGGAGCGUGUGGUUUAAUUCGACGCAACGCGCAGAACCUUACCUGGGCUUGACGUGCACGUGCAACAGGCGGAAACGUCUGCCCCUCUUUGAGGCGCGUGCACAGGUGCUGCAUGGCUGUCGUCAGCUCGUGUCGUGAGAUGUUGGGUUAAGUCCCGCAACGAGCGCAACCCUUGUUGGUAGUUAGAUGUUCUCUACCGAGACUGCCGGGAGAAACUCGGAGGAAGGUGAGGAUGACGUCAAGUCAGCACGGCCCUUACGUCCAGGGCUACACACACGCUACAAUGGCCGGUACAACGGGCUGCGAAGCCGCGAGGCGGAGCCAAUCCCAUCAAAGCCGGUCUCAGCUCGGAUUGCAGGCUGCAACUCGCCUGCAUGAAGUCGGAGUUGCUAGUAAUCGCGGGUCAGCACACCGCGAUGAAUAUGUUCCCGGGCCUUGUACACACCGCCCGUCACACCACGAAAGCCGGCAACACCUGAAGCCGGGGGCCUAACCGCAAGGAGGGACCCGUCGAGGGUGGGGUUGGUGAUUGGGGUG